rnacentral:rRNA from 1 species
CACGGGGGUUGCGAGCGUUGUCCGGAAUUACUAGGUGUAAAGGGCAGGCAGGCGGAUCCAUAAGUUUAUCGUUUAAGGCGUCGGCUUAACCGGCGUAGGGCGGUAGAUACUGUGGAUCUGGAAUGCGGUUGGGGAAGACAGAAUUCCUGGUGUAGCGGUGGAAUGCGCAGAGAUCAGGAGGAAUACCGAAGGCGAAGGCAGUCUUCCAAGCCGUUAUUGACGCUCAACUGCGAAGGUGUGGGUAUCAAACAGGAUUAGAUACCCGCGUAGUCCCUGAG